rnacentral:rRNA from 1 species
CCUACGGGGAGCAGCAGUGAGGAAUAUUGGUCAAUGGACGAGAGUCUGAACCAGCCAAGUAGCGUGAAGGAUGACUGCCCUAUGGGUUGUAAACUUCUUUUAUAUGGGAAUAAAAUGUUCCACGUGUGGGUUUUUGUAUGUACCAUAUGAAUAAGGAUCGGCUAACUCCGUGCCAGCAGCCGCGGUAAUACGGAGGAUCCGAGCGUUAUCCGGAUUUAUUGGGUUUAAAGGGAGCGUAGGUGGAUUGUUAAGUCAGUUGUGAAAGUUUGCGGCUCAACCGUAAAAUUGCAGUUGAAACUGGCAGUCUUGAGUACAGUAGAGGUGGGCGGAAUGCGUGGUGUAGCGGUGAAAUGCUUAGAUAUCACGAAGAACUCCGAUUGCGAAGGCAGCUCACUGGACUGCAACUGACACUGAGGCUCGAAAGUGUGGGUAUCAAACAGGAUUAGAUACCCGAGUAGUC